rnacentral:lncRNA from 10 species
AUUUGUUACUACCAGUAUUAUGCAUUAGUCUGUUGAAAGCAAUGGAAGUGUGAUUAAGAAAAAAUCUUAUUACCAGUUGAAGGUCUCUGAGUUUCUCUGGCUACUUCCACUUUUUUCUUCACAAUGAGAAAUGAGAAAAUGUACAAGCAGCUCUUAGGAAGUUUGCUCUCCUCAUCUGAAGUUAGUGUUGUGGGUGAUGCACACUUGUAUCUGAAAGCUUUUACAGGUUAUCAAAUCUUGUAUGUGUAUGGCAUUUCUUCUACCUUCAGCGAUCAUCUGAUCUUGUUUGCAGUUUUUCUGGCCCAAGCAAAUCAGCAGCAGUUGGGCUGCUAGAUGAGAGAGUCUGGCCAUGGCUGGUGGACAUUAGAAAAUUUGAGGAGCAAAGUGCUGAGUAUGUCAUGUGAUGAAUGGAAGAGCGGCCUCUGAGAUUCACAGAAGAGGUUCUCUUGGGACUCCAUCCUUAAGAAAGGCGUCACUUCGUCAAGGGGCUUAGAGAGAAAGUAUAAACCAAACACAGUUCCACACUUUACAUUAAGAGUUUUAUUUAAAAGGAUGGUAUUAUAUUACCAGUGAACUUCUCUACAUGCAAAAGUGGCAUUACUUUUUAACCUUUGAGUGAACAUCCCUUCUGAAGUGCACUAGUUUUGAUUUUCCUUGUAACCAGUGAAUUUUUCCUUGUCGUUACAGUGAUUUCUAUAACCAUGGAACAAAGAGUAAUUUAGCCCAUGUAAGUUGUGACUUUGAACAUUUUGCACAUCAACCAACUCUGCUAACCGGUCACAGCCAGAGCAAUGACGGAACCAAAAGAAAAACGAAGACAAUGCUUGAAAGCUGCUGUGAGAAACUAGUAAUCCUAUAUAGUUGGGUGUUCAUUCAAUCUGUACAGGAAAAGCAAGGAGACAAAAUAUUGGUUAAAAAAAAAAAGCCUAAAGCUAGUAAUUAGGAGCAGGAGAAAGCAAUGACACAUUUAGAUUAUUGCACUUCACUUUGUAUUGGUAUCAGCUUUUGAAUAUUUCAGCAGCAUUCAUUUACAUACCCACUGAGGAUUGCUGAGCAGAAAUUACCCUUUGUUCUCAGGGAUAGAAUUCAGUGGGGUUACAAGUUAUAUCUAGACUUUGGCCCCUUCAAAUAGAAAGAGCUUUGUGAUAAUGCGUUGAAUAAUAUGUAAUCUUCACUUUUGUUAAGUAAAACCACAGGAUUUUCCUACACAAUCAUUUGUAAGUGUUUGCAUCGUGAGGAUCGAAAAUUUGUCUAUUGUGAAGAUAUGCUUUGAUGGGACUAUUCUAAAAGUAGUUGUGAAAUGUAAUGUGUGACACCUGGAUUUUAAUACUUGUCACACCCAUCUCUCCCAGUCAUCUCCCAGUACCACCUGCCACUCCAGCUCAGAGAAGGUAAGAGUUUUUCCGAAGAUCACACAGUUAGUAGUUGAGAAACAGUAUCUCAGGUGUCCCUAAGCCCACAAUACAGUCUCAUUUCUGUCCCAAAUUAAGUCCAAGGUCUGAGGUAAGUCAUUCUUAUGAGACUAAAUGAGUGUUACCUGCAAAGUACAUGAACUGAUGGGUGCUAAGAACCAUCUAGGCCUUGCACACAGC